GAUGAAGAACGCAGCGAAAUGCGAUACGUAGUGUGAAUUGCAGAAUUCAGUGAAUCAUCGAAUCUUUGAACGCACAUUGCGCCCUUUGGUAUUCCAAAGGGCAUGCCUGUUCGAGCGUCAUUUGUACCCUCAAGCUUUGCUUGGUGUUGGGCGUCUUGUCUCCAGUCCGCUGGAGACUCGCCUUAAAGUCAUUGGCAGCCGGCCUACUGGUUUCGGAGCGCAGCACAAGUCGCACUCUUUUCCAGCCAAGGUCAGUGUCCAACAAGCCUUUUUUCAACUUUUGACCUCGGAUCAGGUAGGGAUACCCGCUGAACUUAAGCAUAUCAAAAGCGGAGA
rnacentral:misc_RNA from 1 species